GCUGCCGUAGCUCAGUCGGUAGAGCACGUCCUUGGUAAGGACGGGGUCGGCGGUUCGAGUCCGCCCGGCAGCACCA
rnacentral:tRNA from 1 species